rnacentral:rRNA from 1 species
GAUGAACGCUAGCGGCAGGCCUAACACAUGCAAGUCGAGGGGUAACGAUGGCUUCGGCCAGGCGACGACCGGCGCACGGGUGAGUAUCGCGUUUGUAACCUGCCUCUAACUGGAGGAUAGCCCGAAGAAAUUCGGAUUAAUACUCCAUAAAGCCAUGAUUUGGCAUCAUUUCAUGGUUAAAGCUCCGGCGGUUAGAGAUGGGCAUGCGUGACAUUAGUUAGUUGGUGAGGUAACGGCUCACCAAGACAACGAUGUCUAGGGGGUCUGAGAGGAUGGUCCCCCACACUGGUACUGAGACACGGACCAGACUCCUACGGGAGGCAGCAGUGAGGAAUAUUGGUCAAUGGGCGCAAGCCUGAACCAGCCAUGCCGCGUGAAGGAUGACAGCCCUAUGGGUUGUAAACUUCUUUUGUACGGGAAGAAACACUUCUACGUGUAGAAGCUUGACGGUACCGUACGAAUAAGCAUCGGCUAACUCCGUGCCAGCAGCCGCGGUAAUACGGAGGAUGCAAGCGUUAUCCGGAUUCAUUGGGUUUAAAGGGUACGUAGGCGGGAGAUUAAGUCAGUGGUGAAAUCCUGCAGCUUAACUGUGGAACUGUCAUUGAUACUGGUCUUCUUGAAUAUAGUUGGAGUAGGCGGAAUGUGUAAUGUAGCGGUGAAAUGCUUAGAUAUUACACAGAACACCGAUUGCGAAGGCAGCUUACUAAACUAUGAUUGACGCUGAGGUACGAAAGCGUGGGGAGCGAACAGGAUUAGAUACCCUGGUAGUCCACGCUGUAAACGAUGAUCACUU